GCCAUAGCAGGUGAUAGCCCUGUAGACGAAAACAGCGAGGAAGAACUAGGUGUACGACAAGUAGGGCGGGACACGUGAAAUCCUGUCUGAAGAUGGGGGGACCAUCCUCCAAGGCUAAAUACUCGUGAUCGACCGAUAGUGAACCAGUACCGUGAGGGAAAGGCGAAAAGAACCCCGGGAGGGGAGUGAAAUAGAUCCUGAAACCGCAUGCAUACAAACAGUCGGAGCCUCGCAAGGGGUGACGGCGUACCUUUUGUAUAAUGGGUCAGCGACUUACAUUCAGUGGCAAGCUUAACCGAUUAGGGCAGGCGUAGCGAAAGCGAGUCCGAACAGGGCGUUCAGUCGCUGGGUGUAGACCCGAAACCAGGUGAUCUAUCCAUGGCCAGGAUGAAGGUGCGGUAACACGUACUGGAGGUCCGAACCCACUAACGUUGAAAAGUUAGGGGAUGAGCUGUGGAUAGGGGUGAAAGGCUAAACAAACCUGGAAAUAGCUGGUUCUCUCCGAAAACUAUUUAGGUAGUGCCUCGUGUAUCACCUUCGGGGGUAGAGCACUGUCAUGGUUGUGGGGUCCAUUGCGGAUUACUACGCCAUAGCAAACUCCGAAUACCGAAGAGUGCAAUCACGGGAGACAGACAUCGGGUGCUAACGUCCGGUGUCAAGAGGGAAACAACCCAGACCGCCAGCUAAGGUCCCCAAAUAUGGCUAAGUGGGAAACGAAGUGGGAAGGCUAAAACAGUCAGGAGGUUGGCUUAGAAGCAGCCAUCCUUUAAAGAAAGCGUAAUAGCUCACUGAUCGAGUCGUCCUGCGCGGAAGAUGUAACGGGGCUAAGCCAUAUACCGAAGCUGCGGAUGCACAUUUAUGUGCAUGGUAGGAGAGCGUUCCGUAAGCCUGCGAAGGUGCACUGGAAAGUGUGCUGGAGGUAUCGGAAGUGCGAAUGCUGACAUGAGUAGCGAUAAAGGGGGUGAAAGGCCCCCUCGCCGUAAGCCCAAGGUUUCCUACGCAACGUUCAUCGGCGUAGGGUGAGUCGGCCCCUAAGGCGAGGCAGAAAUGCGUAGCUGAUGGGAAGCAGGUUAAUAUUCCUGCACCAUUGUUGAAUGCGAUGGGGGGACGGAUCGCGGAAGGUUGUCCGGGUGUUGGAAGUCCCGGUCCUUGCAUUGGAGAAGGCGCUUUGGCAAAUCCGGGCGCGGAAUUCAAGGGUGUGAGGCCAGUCACUUCGGUGACGAAGCAAUCGGAAGUGGUUCCAGGAAAAGCCUCUAAGCUUCAGUUCAACAAGACCGUACCGCAAACCGACACAGGUGGGCGAGAUGAGUAUUCUAAGGCGCUUGAGAGAACUCGGGAGAAGGAACUCGGCAAAUUGGUACCGUAACUUCGGGAUAAGGUACGCCCCUGUAGCUUGACUCGCCUGCGCGAG
rnacentral:rRNA from 1 species